rnacentral:rRNA from 1 species
CCCUUAGAUGUCCUGGGCUGCACGCGCGCUACACUGACACGUUCAACGAGUUUUGCCUGCUCCGAUGGGACUGGGUAAUCUUAUGAAAGCGUGUCGUGAUGGGGAUAGAUUAUUGCAAUUAUUAAUCUUCAACGAGGAAUUCCUAGUAAGUACAAGUCAUCAGCUUGUGCUGAUUACGUCCCUGCCCUUUGUACACAUCGCCCGUCGCUCCUACCGAUUGGGUGAUCCGGUGAAUAACUCGGACUGCAGCUAUUCGGGAGACCGUUAGCUUGUGGAAAGUUUAGUAAAUCUUAUCACUUAGAGGAAGGAGAAGUCGUAACA